rnacentral:rRNA from 1 species
UGCGUAGGCGGAAUAUUAAGUCAGUGGUGAAAUCCUGCGGCUCAACCGUAGAACUGCCAUUGAUACUGAUAUUCUUGAAGGUAGUUGAGGUAGGCGGAAUGUGUAAUGUAGCGGUGAAAUGCUUAGAUAUUACACAGAACACCGAUUGCGAAGGCAGCUUACUAAACUAUGAUUGACGCUGAUGCACGAAAGCGUGGGGAGCGAACAGGAUUAGAUACCCUGGUAGUCC